rnacentral:rRNA from 1 species
AGAGUUUGAUUCUGGCUCAGGAUGAACGCUAGCUACAGGCUUAACACAUGCAAGUCGAGGGGCAGCAUGGUCUUAGCUUGCUAAGGCCGAUGGCGACCGGCGCACGGGUGAGUAACGCGUAUCCAACCUGCCUUACACUCUUGGACAGCCUUCUGAAAGGGAGAUUAAUACAAGAUGUUAUCAUGAGUAAGCAUUUUCACAUGAUUAAAGGUUUACCGGUGUAAGAUGGGGAUGCGUUCCAUUAGAUAGUAGGCGGGGUAACGGCCCACCUAGUCUUCGAUGGAUAGGGGUUCUGAGAGGAAGGUCCCCCACAUUGGAACUGAGACACGGUCCAAACUCCUACGGGAGGCAGCAGUGAGGAAUAUUGGUCAAUGGACGAGAGUCUGAACCAGCCAAGUAGCGUGAAGGAUGAAGGUUCUAUGGAUUGUAAACUUCUUUUAUACGGGAAUAAACGAAUCCACGUGUGGAUUUUUGCAUGUACCGUAUGAAUAAGGAUCGGCUAACUCCGUGCCAGCAGCCGCGGUAAUACGGAGGAUCCGAGCGUUAUCCGGAUUUAUUGGGUUUAAAGGGAGCGU